CCUACGGGUGGCAGCAGUAAGGAAUAUUGGUCAAUGGACGCAAGUCUGAACCAGCCAUGCCGCGUGGAGGAUGAAGGUCCUCUGGAUUGUAAACUUCUUUUAUUUGGGAAGAAACCUGAAUUUUCUAUUUCAGUUGACGGUACCAGAUGAAUAAGCACCGGCUAACUCCGUGCCAGCAGCCGCGGUAAUACGGAGGGUGCAAGCGUUAUCCGGAUUUACUGGGUUUAAAGGGUGCGCAGGCGGAUUGCCAAGUCCGUGGUGAAAUCUCUGGGCUUAACCCGGAAAUUGCCGUGGAUACUGGUGAUCUUGAAUGCCGUGGAGGUUAGCGGAAUAUGUCAUGUAGCGGUGAAAUGCUUAGAUAUGACAUAGAACACCGAUUGCGAAGGCAGCUAACUACGCGGUGAUUGACGCUCAUGCACGAAAGCGUGGGGAUCAAACAG
rnacentral:rRNA from 1 species